AUGGAGAAGCUUCUCUCUCUUCAGAAGAGCGUCAGUGCCACAUGGCUAAACUUCGGCUCCACCACGUGGGCCAUGGAUAUGAUCCUGGCCUUCGCGUGCGGACUGGGGAUCUUCCUCCUGUUACUGCCCUUCCUCCCGGAUAAUCCACCAGUACCACCACCACCUCCUCUGAGAAAGAAGAAAGGCUGCAGAAAGCUCGUAGAGACGGUGGAGAGGAAGGAGAGGGGAAUGAUCACCUGGCUUUGCUCCUGUGUAGGUCAGUAACUUUCCCCUUCUCUCCGUGCCUGGCUCCUGCCAGGGGCUAUGAUGGGACCUGAGGGACCUGGGCUAAGCAGGGGAGGGCCCUGCAGGGCGGAGUGUGGUGUGACUAAGCCAAGGAUGUUAGGGCUUUGUGGAGUCAGUGUGUGUGUCACUGUGGGGGUCAUGAACAGCAGUUGUCCUGCCCUGUCCAGCCGGCCUGGCCUCCUGUCCCUGUCCCCUACCGACUAUACCUUGUGCCUGUUGUCUUC
rnacentral:lncRNA from 1 species